rnacentral:rRNA from 1 species
UAAGCGGAGGAAAAGAAACUAACAAGGAUUCCCCUAGUAACGGCGAGUGAACCGGGAAGAGCUCAAAUUUGAAAUCUGGCGUCCUCAGGGCGUCCGAGUUGUAAUCUAUAGAGGCGUUUUCCGCGCCGGACCGUGUAUAAGUCUCCUGGAACGGAGUAUCAAAGAGGGUGACAAUCCCGUGCUUUACACGACGACCGGUGCUAUGUGAUACGUCUUCUAAGAGUCGAGUUGUUUGGGAAUGCAGCUCAAAAUGGGUGGUAAACUCCAUCUAAAGCUAAAUAUUGGUGGGAGACCGAUAGCGAACAAGUACCGUGAGGGAAAGAUGAAAAGCACUUUGGAAAGAGAGUUAAACAGUAUGUGAAAUUGUUGAAAGGGAAACGAUUGAAGUCAGUCGUGUCCAUUGGGUUCAGCCGGUCCUGCCGGUCUACUCCCUUUGGACGGGUCAACAUCAGUUCUGACCGGUGGAUAAUGGCGUGAGGAACGUGGCACCCCUCGGGGUGUGUUAUAGCCUCGCGUCGCAUACGCUGGUCGGGACUGAGGAACGCAGCUCGCCUUCAUGGCCGGGGUUCGCCCACGUCCGAGCUUAGGAUGUUGACAUAAUGGCUUUAAACGACCCGUCUUGAAACACG